rnacentral:lncRNA from 1 species
AAUCAGAUUAUGAAACUAUAUUUUUAAAGAAAUUUUUUGCAAUUGGUCUCAUUUUUUUGUGAUUCCAAAUAAAAGAGUUAUGAAUUUUUGAAAAUAAAUGGAAUAAAAGAAAAUAAAACAAAAAUUAGAAAAAAUAGAAAAAUCAGCGCCCCUUGGAUCAAUUCAUUAAUUGACGUGGCAACAUCCAAGGGUUCAGAAGCGCGUUUCCAUGGUAGG